rnacentral:sRNA from 1 species
AGCUGCUGCCAUGGAGCCAGCCGGGCUAGAGCGGCUCCUACGGGAGCUGCUGCUACCGGACACCGAGCGCAUCCGUCGGGUACGGAGCAGGCGUAACCCGGCCAGGGCGAGCGGGAGGUUGCGGGAAAGGCCCGACUCUCACCCCUAGCUUCCCCCCAGGCCACGGAACAGCUCCAGAUCGUUCUUCGGGCCCCCGCCGCUUUGCCGGCUCUCUGCGACCUGCUAGCCUCGGCGGCCGACCCCCAGGUGAGACCCCUGACUCUCCCCUCCGAGCUUCCCACUGUACGCCACCGGUCAGGCCCCAAUAUUCGCCCACUGCGGUCCGCUCAGCACCUUCCUGCCCGGACCCCCACGUGCUUGCUUCCUCGUCCUAGAUCCGCCAGUUUGCGGCCGUGCUGACCCGCAGACGACUGAACACCCGCUGGCGACGGCUGGCGGCGGAGCAACGGGAGAGCCUCAAGUCCCUGAUCCUGACGGCCCUGCAGAGAGAAACAGAGUAAGUACCUACCCCCUUCUCUCGGGAUCUUGACGACUUUGUCUAGGUUUCUGCCUUCCUUUUCAGCUCCAGGCUGGGACUUGUGGGGCAGGGACUUCAGUUCUAGACGCAAGG